GACGAACGCUGGCGGCGUGCCUAACACAUGCAAGUCGAACGGGCCCGCUCUCUUUUUUGGGGGUGGGUUGAGUGGCGAACGGGUGAGUAUCACGUGAGUAACCUGCCCCCUGCUCCUGGAUAACUGCUUGAAAGGGCGGCUAAUACGGGGUGUGCCGGCUGGUCCGCAUGGGCCUGGUCGGGAUAGUUUCAUCUUCGGGUGUUUCGGUGGGGGAUGGGCUCGCGGCCUAUCAGCUUGUUGGUGGGGUGAUGGCCCACCAAGGCGGUGACGGGUAGCCGGCCUGAGAGGGUGGGCGGCCACACUGGGACUGAGACACGGCCCAGACUCCUGCGGGAGGCAGCAGUGGGGGGUAUUGCACAAUGGGCGGAAGCCUGAUGCAGCGACGUCGCGUGAGGGAUGGAGGCCUUCGGGUUGUGAACCUCUUUCUCCGGUGGUGAAGGCCCUGUCCGUUGCGGCGGGGUUGACGGUAGCCGGGGAUGAAGCGCCGGCUAACUACGUG
rnacentral:rRNA from 1 species